GACGAACGCUGGCGGCGCGCUUAACACAUGCAAGUCGAACGUGAAGACCCGGGCGUUGCCCGGGUGGAAAGUGGCGAACGGGUGCGUAACACGUGAGCAACCUGCCCCGAACGACCGGGAUAACGAGCGGGAAACCGCUGCUAAUACCGGACUGCCCUCAUCAUGUCGCAUGGCGAGAUGAGGAAAUGGAUUCCGCUUCGGGAUGGGCUCGCGGUCUAUCAGCUUGGUGGNGAGGUAACGGCUCACCAAGGCUACGACGGAUAGCUGGUCUGAGAGGAUGUCCAGCCACACUGGGACUGAGACACGGCCCAGACUCCUACGGGAGGCAGCAGUGGGGAAUCUUGCACAAUGGGCGAAAGCCUGAUGCAGCGACGCCGCGUGCGGGAUGACGGCC
rnacentral:rRNA from 1 species